GUGACCCGAGGGACCGCCACCUCCUCUCAUCCCGCCUAUUCUAUCCGCUCCCCGCCUAUCCCACUGCCACUCCGGGAGCACGGGACGUGGGCCUGCGGGGCUUGGGGUUGUUCUACAGUCACUGUUCACAGGACUGAAGUCGGGCACGGGUAGGACCGGGUCUGGGUGAGAACCCAGUUGGGAGCGAGAGCAGUUUCCGUGCAAGGGGCGGGCAGAGAAUGCUGCCCGGAGGCGAAGCACGCAUAACGUCUGGCGCAUACGUCACGGCGCCUCGGCAGGACCUUCCUCGCGUCUGAAAAGAACAAGAAAAGGGUGAGAAUUCUCGGCGCCCCCAAGCCUGCCUUUCGCUGUACGCUCACUGUGCGCCCACAGGUCGGGACCAGGGCUGCCACCGGAGCCUCGGGGACCUGCCCGAGGUUAUGCGGCCAGCGUGCUAGAGGCGGGACACGAGCCUCUCAGUACCGCCGCUGCCGCGUGCCGUGUGCCACCGGAGACCUGUGCCAUCUGAAGAAACCUUUCCUCUCCUUCAGACAUUGGACUUCCGAGUUCCAAAACUUCUCUGGUUGCUUUUUCCUAGUAUGUCGGUCUGACGUGCUCUUGACCUCUAGCUGAAUCCAAGUGGAGCAUCUACUAAUUUUUGGAGUUAACAUGUCAUCCCUGACAUGACAUAUGCUAGAAUAUUUGUAGCCUCUGUCUUUUUUUUUUUUUUCCUUUUUGAAAACUUGAACCUAGCUUUGGCAUGUCUUCUAUCCCCGUGAUUUCUCCAGAUUAUUAGCCGUGUCUAAUAACUUGCAUGUUUUCAGUUCUGGGAAUGUAACUGGGUCAAAAGUCUUAAAAUGACUUUUAUUUGGAAAGAUGUCAUCACCAUAUUAGAAACAUUCUUAAAACAAAGUUUUUAUUGCAAUUACACUCGAACAGAAGAAGAGGUCCACAAAUAAGUUCCUGAUUUUGCCUCAAUCCCAGACCCAUUCCACCCAAGUGUUUUUCUCAGUUCAUGUCAGCUCCACCUCAUUUUACUCAGGCUCAAACCCCAGGAGCCAUCCUCGGACUCCUCUCACAUCCUCUAUCCACUCUAUGUAGAAAUCAUACACCUUUAAGCCGUCUAGGAUCCAACACCUUAGCAUUCCCACAGCCACCUUCAUCCCUCACCUGAGCAGUCAGGUCUCUAGCUAUACUUCCCCUCUCCCAGGAGCCUAAUCUCCACACAGCAGCCAGAGGAAUCUUGGCAUUUCCCUGCUUGAAACCACACAAAGUCUUCCCAGUUCACUUGGAAAAAAAAGCCAAAGUCCUUACAGUAGCCUACAGAGCUCAACACCGAUUGGCUUACUCCCCACUGCUUACUCUGUUUCAGUCACACUGCCUUCAUUACUGUUACUUGAACCCACCUCAGGGCCUUUGCACUGGCUUUUCUUUCUGCUUAUAAAGCUAUUCCAGGUAUUUGCAUAACACACUCACUCACCUCUUUCAAGUCCUCUCAAGUGUCGCUUUCUAAGUGAGGCCUUCCUUGACCAACCUAUUUAACCCUGCCCCCUCACCCACAGCACCGCCAGGCUCUUACCCAGCUCCAGUUUUUC